ACUGAACGCUGGCGGAAUGCUUUACACAUGCAAGUCGAACGGUAGAGGGGGCAACCCCUUGAGAGUGGCGAACGGGUGAGUAAUAUAUCGGAACGUGCCCAGUCGUGGGGAUAACGUAGCGAAAGUUACGCUAAUACCGCAUACGAUCUAAGGAUGAAAGCGGGGGAUCGCAAGACCUCGCGCGAUUGGAGCGGCCGAUAUCAGAUUAGGUAGUUGGUGAGGUAAAGGCUCACCAAGCCAACGAUCUGUAGCUGGUCUGAGAGGACGACCAGCCACACUGGAACUGAGACACGGUCCAGACUCCUACGGGAGGCAGCAGUGGGGAAUUUUGGACAAUGGGCGCAAGCCUGAUCCAGCAAUGCCGCGUGCAGGAUGAAGGCCUUCGGGUUGUAAC
rnacentral:rRNA from 1 species